GACGAACGCUGGCGGCGUGCUUAACACAUGCAAGUCGAACGGAAAGGCCCUGCUUUUGUGGGGUGCUCGAGUGGCGAACUGGUGAGUAACACGUGAGUAACCUGCCCUUGACUUUGGGAUAACUUCAUGAAACUUGGGCUAAUACCGGAUAGGAGCUCCUGCUUCAUGGUGGGGGUUGGAAAGUUUCGGCGGUUGGGGAUGGACUCGCGGCUUAUCAGCUUGUUUGUGGGGUAGUGGCUUACCAAGGCUUUGACGGGUAGCCGGCCUGGGAGGGUGACCGGACACAUUGGGACUGGGAUAAGGCCCAGACCCCUACGGGAGGCAGCAGUGGGGAAUAGUGCACAAUGGGCGGAAGCCUGACGCAGUAACGCCGCGUGCGGGAUGACGGCCUUCGGGUUGUAAACCGCUGUUCCCUGUGACGAAGCGUGAGUGACGGUAAUGGGUAAAGAAGCACCGGCUAACUACGUG
rnacentral:rRNA from 1 species